CAUCGGAAGACAAAUAUUUCUGUCACAGCCUGUAUCAAGACAGUCUUAACUCAUUUUCCUCUGAUGCCUAAAACUACAAGUAGCACAAUGACUUUGCUGCACUGCCAGAAUAUUGCUGGGCAAGGAGCAUUGAAACAACCUUUCAUUCACCUGCUUUUCAUCAGAUCCUCUCCUCGAAUGAACAGCAAGCCUGAUUUUUAUUGCCAGCCUUGUGCAUGUGUUGUUGCAGAACUACAUCCAUCUGUGGACUACCUUCUCCUGAACCCUGAGCUGAGAAAAUGUCAGACCAUCUGCAAGGCCCAGUAUCCUAUUGCAGUACUGUACUGUUACAAUCCUUGUAAAAAUACAAAUGAACUUAUGAAAGUGAAACCACUGAAAUAUUUUUAUUUUUCUCUGCAAAAUCUAAAGUCAGAAGGCCUCAGGGAAGUGUUAUUAUCUAUUUCUUAUUGUAAAAACAUCUGA
rnacentral:lncRNA from 1 species